GUGAGAAGGAUACAGAAGAGAAAGGUACUCGUCUCGGUUAAGUGGAAAAGAGAUGGAUAGAGAAUCUUCGAGAGAAGAAAAAUCGUCUGGAACAUACUUGAAAGGGAUUCAGCUGUAGAUUUAAAUUAUUAUUGUUGUUGUUGUUAUUAUUAUUAUUAUUAUUAUUAUUAUUAUUAUUAUUAUUAUUAUUAUUGCCUUUGUUAUUGUUAUAGUAGUAGUAAUAACAGUAGUAAUUGUUGUUGUACUUAUAGUUGCUGCAAUAUUUGACAUUGUUACAUUUAUCUUCUCAAACUACUUGUGUAUCUGAUUAGGAAUAGGAAAUGACGUGUACCGUGAGAUUUCAAAGAGUGUUUUUUUAUCUUUAUCUUUAUAGAUUAUUUAGGAAUUUUUUUGCGAUACGCGUGCACGUCUUCAGGAUGAAUAAUUUCCGUAAUUGUAUUUAUAUGCGUUUGGAUUUAAUUGUAAUAUGCGGAUGGAAUGUAUUGAUUAACGUUGUGUGAUAUGAUUCCUUUGAUCGAUAAUACGAUACGGAAUUAUUUCUAAUUUUUCUUCUUGUUAUAACUCUUUUUACCGUCGACACCAUUUUGUUAUUAUUAUUUUUAUUAUUAUUAUUAUUAUUAUUACUAUUAUUAUUAUUAUUAUUAUUAUUAUUCAUAUUAUAAUUGACGAUUAAUAAGGUUCGUGUUUUGUUUCUUUUAUUAGAUUUUCAUUCGUUCGACGUAUGUCGGGGUCUUUUUCUCUUUCUUUCCUUUCUCUUUUUGUUUCCCUUCUUUUUUUUUUUUCCUUUAAAGAAAUCGUACGUCGUAUGUAAGUAAGACACGCGUGUUCUCUACAGAGGCGUAGAUGAAAACAGCAGGAAAAAGAAUAGAAUAAACACAUGUGUUCCUUUCGAAGAUUUUCGAAGCGUUAAAGCGACACAUGUACAACGUUGAAAUACACUUGUCACUUAGUUUAUUCACUAAGUUCUAUUUCUUUCGAAAUAUAUACUUACACACUUUUCACCUAAUUCCAUUCUAAUUAUCUUGGACAUUGAAGGUAUAUAUAUGUACACAUAUAUAGAAUCGAAUAACAGGUUCAAAUAAGUACAAGGUGAUUCCUCAUAGAAAAGAAAAGAAAAAGAAAAUAAUAGUACAAAAUGUGCCUAUCCCAGGCCUCAAUUUUUGAAAGAAAAUUGAGUUAGAAGAUUCACUGCGUGAGAACUAAAAUGUAAAUUCAUCUGAACGAUUCAACGUGUAUCUAACGUCUUUUUAAACAACGUUAAACAAUCUCAAAUAAUACAUACGAUAUAUACGUACGAACUUGAUUUAUCAUGUUGAGUAUAUUACAGGACACCCGUUAUAUAUAAUAAACCUAUAAACUAAAAAUGUUUCUCUGCUAAUAAGAAAAAUUAAUUACUAUUUUAUUCGUCGUACGUACUUCUAAAGGUUCAUCGUCAUCUUGGUCACAGAUUCCGGAUUAUCCUCGAUAGAAAAGAGGACAAAGAGGAAGAAGAAGAAGAAAAAGAUGAUGAUGAUGAUGAUGAAGAAGAAGAAGAGAAACAGAAAAGAAGAGAAACCGGUCUUAUGGUAGCUCUGGAACAAGGAAAGGAUCCUUCAGGACCAUCGACCUUGGCUUUCCCGCCAAAACUCAGCAGCCAAGGGAAGCCUACAUAUGCGCGAACGUAUCGUGAGAUAGAGACACGGAGAAAGAUAUAUAUAUGUAUAUAUGUAUAGAGAGAGAGAGAGAGAGAGAGAGAGAGAGAGAGAGAGAAAAUAUACAGAUAAAAAAGAAAGAAAAGAAAGAACGUCGCCGGAAGGGCCAGGCAUUGGGCCAUGUAAGAAUAAGGGCCCUAUACUCGUCGACCGCCUUCGCCGAUAAAUAUUGUAAGAGGAUGUCAACCUGUUUGUCCGUGUGUAACAGGACUCUCUACAAGAAAGAUUUCACCAUGGUAAGUCUAAUCUUUCCCAGGAUUCGAAGACAUCUUCCUUCUUUUUCUAUCUUUCUCUCUCUCUUUCAAAAUUUUCAAGAAAGAAUACUUAAACCUACUUCCACUCCCUUUACCACCUACUCACAUUCCUAGAUUUUACUAUAAAACUUUUUACAGGGGAAAAGAAAAACAUAUAUAUGAACGUUCCUUUCCUUGAAACGAACGAAACAAAUGUCAAUAAGAACGUUAACAAGUCAAAAUUCGUCAAUUUUGAUUUACAAAACAUUUUCAAUGACGUAUUUUCAAUUACGUCGAACAUAUCGAUCGAUGAAUUAUUCUCGUCCAUCUUCUUUUUUUCUUCUUUUGUAUUUUUUAUUUCAUAUUAUUUUAUUUUCUUGAUUUUUUUCAUUUUCUUAACUCAUAAGUCCAACGCGUACCCCAUAUGGCUCUUCUAACAAAGAUAGAAACGCGGAAGGAUGAUAACUGCUAACGUGGCGUGGAUGAUUCUGCAUUUAAAUCGAAAAAUGAAGAGGAUUCUUUGAGCAUGGCGCCGAACAUAAAAGACAUAAUAAACAUAGACAGACAGAUACCUUUGAAAUUAAUUCAAAUUAAUCAAGAAAAGAAGAAGAAAAAAGAAAGAAAGAAAAAUUUGUUUCGUACAUCCCGAAAAGUCUAAAUUAAUUUUUCUUCCUCUUUCCCUCGCUUCUUUAAAUCGAUCCCGCCUUUUUCUCCCUUUCCCUCCACUACCCGCCCCUCCCCAACCACCGUCGACCUCUUCUUCAUCCUUCUUUCUUUUUACUUUUUUUUCAAAUGUAUCACAGUGUGCACCUCAAAAAGCGUUCGCUAUGGGUUUAAAGGGACUGAUCUAUCAUUUGAGAUUUCCUCCUAAGUACGGAUACAACAAACCGGAGAAGCAACAACAGCACAGGUCCCACAAACGGGGAAGAAGAGAGGAAACGUUAUGGGUAUCAUAAAAAUGGAUAACACAUGGCGCAUAGUAUGUAUGGUUACAGAUACGGAACCAUCGAGAAGUAUCGAGGGGAGAAAGAGACUAGGGGUGACGAAGUGGAGAGGUUAAGGUGAGGUAAUUCCGAAUACAUAUAUAUAUAUAUAUAUAUUUACGUAGUCGAGGAGACCAUGAUAAGAGGAAGAAAGACGGGAAGAGGCCUUCGCCAUGACAGACUUCCGGAGGAAGUCGAGGCAUCGCGCGUGACACGCGCCCUCCAAGUUCACCUAGUUCCUUAAUCUUUCUCUCUCUUUCGUGGACAUAUGCCUUCGUAAUCGCAUAGAUAAUCACAUAGAUGAUCAGACAUGGCCUUUGGCACGACAUAAAUAAACGAUUACUAUUAUAAUCAAA